GGCCUGAUGGUCUAGUGGUAUGAUUCACGCUUUGGGUGUGUGAGGUCCCGGGUUCAAUCCCCGGUCAGGCCC